UCAUACAUUGGUGCAUAAGUGCAUAUUUCUGAAUACACCAGUCUCUGCGGGAACGAACUGAAUUUGAUUCUAUACUACUUGUGACCACGUACGCUUGCGUGAUUUUGUGCGAACAAGCAGCUUUGUCUCAACACCUCUGUCUCUCUCUUUUCACCUCCGUCUCAGCACCUCCCUCUCUCUCGGCUUCUUGAAUUCAGCGUUGCAUCUCAAGGAUUCUGGGUCCCAAAGCUUCAUGCAUCUUCUUGAAAGACUCUGCUUGUAGUUUUGGAUACAUGGUUUCUAAGAAGAAGUAUAUCUAUACCAUUGAUGAUGAUUGCGUUGUUGCCAAAGAUCCAUCUGGAAAAGAGAUCAAUGCACUUGAGCAGCACAUCAAGAAUCUGCUAAGCCCCUCAACUCCAUUGUUAUUUAGUGAAGAUUUAUGAGUAGCUUUUUAUCAAAAACUUUUGCUUCUGGAAAUGUGCUAUUACUUACAAAAAACUCGAAAUAUAGGUGGUGUUUUAAAAUGUUAACGAUAGACCUGUAAUCUUUUUGAGCUUUCACCCAAAGGCAUGUUUGUUACUCAAAAAGAUGCAGAGCACUUACCCUAUAUAUUUCCAUAUAAGUUGCUAUAUUUUGAUUUUCAUUAUCUCCUUUUAUGCAAACAUUAGGUUCAGUUGAUGUCAUCAAUGUUUUUUUGACUUAAAAUUAUUUAUUUCAUAGUAAUGUGCUAGAAGCAGUAUAUAUCCAAUAUCUAAUAGGAAUCCUCCGUAUGGUACUUCAGUUUUCUAAUUUCUGCACUCUGUAUUCUGCAUACAACACUCUGCUUUCUGAAUUCUUUACACUGCAGAUUUGCAUUCUUCAAACUGUAUAAACAAUUCAAAAUACUUUGAAAUGAACACAUACUUGAGUAUCUAAAACAAAUUUAUGUGCUUGCAUUAAAUAUGUGAAUGUUGUUUUCUUGACCCUCAGAUUUAUGGGCUUGUGCGUGGAGUUCAUUUGCUGGCCUGUAGUUAGAAGAGCAACAAGAACAACUCAAAGGUAUAUACGGAAGGUCCCGCAAUGAGGUUAAUAUGCAUAUUCAAUAUUGUUGAAGUACUUUUGAAGAGUUGGAAUAAAAAAAGACAGAGUUUAGAUAUAUUGUUGAGGAACAAAGUUUUGUUAAUUUUUAUAACUUUUGUAACUAUUAGAUGCCAAUGAAUGUAAAGUAGUUACUUUAUUUAAGUUUUUGAAUUAUGUAGUUAUUGAUCUAUGAUGUUUGGGUGUUGGUUUAGUAUGUUUGGAUUAUGGUGUAAUUAGAAUGGUAUAUUGGAAUGAAAAUUUUAUUUUAUUACUUAAUUUAUAUGUGGCAAAAGAAAUUUUGUAGUGGGUACAAAUGUAUUUUCAACCAAAAUGGUCCCACAUAGCAAGGUGGUCCGUGGUGGGACCCAUUAUUUUUAAAAAAGAAAAUUACUCCAAGGUAACAUAAUUUUUUGUUGGACCAGGAGAAUAAAAUGUUGGCUUAAAUAGUUUUCGCUAACAUAUUUCUUAUGUUAUUUUAGACAAACUAAAUGUUGCCUUAGACCCCCUAGGGCAACAUCGAAAAUCCUAUCACAAAAUAAUGUUGCCUUAGCCCUUUUAUGGGCCUUUAACAACAUAUAAACCCCCUGCUGCAACAGAAAUUUUAUGUUGCAGAAGGCCUUUUAUGACGUAGUGUAUAUUCAAGAGGAUCAUGGUUUUUAAAAUUCUGAUGGAUUGUUCGGUGGGGACUUAUUUCGCUACGAAGUGUGAAUUGUUCUUUCGAUAUUAAAGUUCACAUGCAGGUUGGAUAAUUUGAAACGGCUCAACUUGUGGAGUAGGCUGUUGGAAAGCAAUAAGAUUAUUGAGCGACCGAACACGAGAGUAAGGUGGAAGUGGGCUGCCUAGUGACAAAUAAUUUUACAGCGUGUGUUUAACUUUGUCCUCGUAUUAUCCUAAUAAACCCACUCAAAUCCGCAUCUUUCUGUUACCAUGUGUACAAUAAAGAGUUAAGUGUACCGGUGAUAGUUUCGAAUUUUCUGGCCAAUUUUGUCCAUAGCCAGUAUCUGUCACGUAGAUAGUUAUGGUGCCGCUCCUCUUAUCUCAAUUUAUGUGAUUAGGUUUUAUGAACACCAGACUAAUGAUGAAUUUUAUAUGAUAGGUUAAUUGUGAUGUUGC